CAACAGUUAGAAGCUUGUAGCUGAGGGAGCAACACCACCUGGCUCCCCUAUUGCUCAUGGAACAUCCUGGAGCGGUUGCUCCACAUCCCAGUGUAAUAAUUGAGUUUGGCAUGGUUCGAACAACAAAUCAUCUGAUGGAGAAUUCUUGAACAAAUGAAAAACAAGGUUUCCCUAACAAAGGCUCAAGGCAGUGGAACUCUUUCCCCUAACCUCGGACAACUCCAUGGCAUCCUUCAAGUAGAAUUUAGUCUCUGGAGAACAGAACAGUGUGGUGAAUGGACAAAAAUAUAUAUUCUGACUACAGUAACAACCUCUGCAGGCUACAUUUGCUAAAUGUUCCAAGAGAGAAUAGAAAAUUGUUUGGAAUAGUUUGGGAGACUUACACUAAGUCAGAGAUGAUGAAUAAAGGCAAAUUGCUUCAUAAUGGACUGCAGAA